CCAAAACGACUCUCGGCAACGGAUAUCUCGGCUCUCGCAUCGAUGAAGAACGUAGCGAAAUGCGAUACUUGGUGUGAAUUGCAGAAUCCCGUGAACCAUCGAGUCUUUGAACGCAAGUUGCGCCCGAAGCCAUCCGGCCGAGGGCACGCCUGCCUGGGCGU
rnacentral:rRNA from 1 species